rnacentral:rRNA from 1 species
AUUGAACGCUGGCGGCAGGCCUAACACAUGCAAGUCGAACGAGUGGCGGACGGGUGAGUAAUGUCUGGGAAACUGCCUGAUGGAGGGGGAUAACUACUGGAAACGGUAGCUAAUACCGCAUACCAUCGGAUGUGCCCAGAUGGGAUUAGCUAGUAGGUGGGGUAAAGGCUCACAUAGUCGACGAUCCCUCGCUGGUCUGAGAGGAUGACAAGCCAGACUGGAACUGAGAAACGUUCAAGAGUCCUACGGGAGGCAGCAGGGGGGAAUAGUGCACAAUGGGCGCAAGCCUGACGCAGCAAUGACGCGUGUAUGAAGAAGGCCUUCGGGUGGUAAAGUACUUUCAGCGGGGAGGCGUUACCCGCAGAAGAAGCACCGGCUAACGCCGUGCCAGCAGCCGCGGUAAAAC